CAAGAUGAAGAAAUCAAAGAGCCGAGGAAUCACCAUGUGAAGCGGAAGCACAUGAAAAACUUUCUAGUUACAUUGAUGUUUCUCGUGAAUAGACAUCCAACAUGAAUGAGAAACAAGAAUUAUUGGGGUAAGAUGUAUGGAGCAUGCUAGAAAUAUUCCCACCCUGAGGAAGACAUCACGAUAGAACAUUAGUGAAUAAAAAUGUACUCAAUGCAGGGUGAAACUAAGGAAUAUUAGUUGAUUGGAAAAUUUCAUAUAUCAAUGUGAUGUUCAGACUUCCCAAUAGGAAAAUCAACAAGUUUAUUUUCAAAGACAUAGAUAAAUGAUAGAGAAUAGCUUAAGGAACCUAAUCCAUUGCCCAAAGUAGUGUAUGUAAAAUAUAAAUACUUAAUACUCCUUGAAAGAUUCAUGUAAAUGUUUCAAAAGUUUGUGGUAAGAUCAAAUGAAUAAUGCAUGUCUCAGAUAGCAAGGAGGUCCUAUUAACUCUAAAACAAAGUGUGUGUGUGUGUGUGUGUGUGUGUGUGUAGUGGUCGAUCACCUAAAACAUUCACAUUUUACAACUUAUAUACUAAUUUGAGGUGAUUAAUAGAAUAUUGGCUCAACUUUUUGUGUCAAGAAAACUCUUCAAAUGUUCUAGAACAACCUGCAUCCACUACGAACAUUCAUACACAAAAUUGAUGCGAAUCCUAUGGUUUCAAUUAUAAAAAAGGAUUACUUCACCACUACAUAAUACUAUUUUUGGAAACUACCAUAUCAUACCAUUUAGUAUCCACAACUAAGCAAAUUACCCCCAGGUAAUAGUUGAUCUUUAUCUUCUGCAUUUGAAGUAUACCUCUCAUGUGGUAUUUGUAAACUAAACAUAUAUGCGAGAGCACCUACCAUGACUACACAAUAUAUGAUGUAGUGUAAAAUGCACCAGAUUAAGCAUGUUGCAUGGAAUAAAGUCACAUAAUUACAAGAAUAACAAACGCUAAUCUAUCGGAGCCACGAAUGGACUUCCAUGAGAGCGGGGGCGCAAGCCAAUCAUAGCACUCAAGACUUAUCGUGAUCCCAAUCAUCAUUACAAAAACACAAUUUAGGGUAUGAAGCAAGAUCAGUCGGGGCUACCAACGACCCAUGUAAAUAUGAUGGGCACAUAAAUUAUGAUUGAUGCAAGAUCAACUCAAUACAGCAAACAAGACAAUUCCUCACCUAUGGAAGCAAACAUCGGUCCCAAGGAUGAAGUAGAUUAGGAGGAGAAGAUGGACAUUGUUGUCAAAGGGACAAAGAUGGGAAUGCCAAUGGAAGAUAUGAAGCAAGACGUGAGGGCGAAGAGUACGCUUUGGGGUGGCUGGAUGUGCAUCCCACAUCGGUUCCUCGGAGAGUGGAGUCACAAAGUCAAGCGAAACAACGACGGGCUCUGGGGUAGUUGGAGGGGCCGGUGUCGUGGUGACACAAUUAACCCGAGCCUAGAAGGGGAGGGCAGGACGCGAGCUCGUGGAGCGUGAGGGGGCUGGCGGGAUCUCAUCGGCAUAGAAUGAUGUGAUGGGCAAAAUGAGCUACCGACGACGGGGGCUAUUAGGGCUUGCCC
rnacentral:lncRNA from 1 species